ensembl:lincRNA
GUUUCCUCCAAUUUGUGAGAGCUCCCCAGUCUUUCCUUGCUUUGCAUGACACUGAAUACCAUACUUGUUGGCUCUCUGUUAAUGCAUUUAUUAAUCCAUCUGGUUGACCCAUCAGCUCAUGGUGUCAGACUCUAUGCCAGGCACUGGGGGCUCAGAAAUGAAUCAGGAGAGGCGCCUGACCUCAAGGAGCUCACAGACAAGGAGACUGUCAGAGCCAGAGCAUGAGAUCAGAGCGAUAACAGCAUGGCAGGGCAAGGCCCAGCAUCUCCAGGAAUGACACCGUCAUCAGCAGGGCCCAACGUGCAAAGCGGAUGGAGGUGUGCAAGGAAAGGCUGAGUGCCUCUGCCUUUUGUCUUUCUGAAAAGCCCUUAGCAAACUUUUCCUUACAUCUCCUUGGCCAGAAUCUUAUGUCCAGUCCUAGAUCAAUCACCGAAAAGAAGAAAUGGAAGAGCUGAAACUGGCUUAGAACGACCCGGACUCACUUUUGGAAGCAGAGCACCAUCGGGAUACUGUUUUCUGAGGAAGAGGCCAGAAUGGCUGUUGGAUGGGUGCCUGCCGCAGGCCCUUCAGUUGCUCUGGAAGUUUUUCACUGGGGAAAUAAUACUGCCUCAAACAGUCUUUUGCAUAAAGAUUUCCCCACAUUUAAAAUGGUCUCCUGGAUUUCCCUGGUGGUCCCGUGGUUAAGAGUCUGUCUGCUAAUGAAGGGGACACAGGUCUUGACUCCCAGGCAGGGAAGACACCACAUGCUUCAGAGCAGCGGCACCCAUGCGCCUCAUCUGCUAAAGCCCGCCCGCCCUAGGCCCGAGCUCUGCAGCAGGAGAAGCCGCUGCAACGGGGAGCGCUGCUCAGAGCAACCAGGCGAAGCCUGCACAGCCACGAAGACGCCGCGCGGCAGAGGAUCACCUUCGAGAUAACGAAGAUGAGCAUCUCUGGCAGCACACAGACCUUCUCAAGAGCUCAAGAUUCAAGAACACACAGGCAAGCGGACCAAACCAGCUGCCCUGCCCGCAUCCUCCUCUAAGCCCCUCCAUCCCUGGAGAGGAGGGGCUGCCACAGCAAACUUGGAUGUUUUGCAUCCUCAGAACAUGUGCGCACAUCUGGAGGAAUGGCUACAAAGAUUAAUGUCACACUCAGUGUCAGAAUCCCCCUUGACAUUUCCUCAGUUUAUCUGAACAAUUUAGGGGAGCCCUCUGGGGCGCAGGAACCACACUCUGCAGUGCAAGGCCAGCACUUAACCUCUUGAAUCCUCAUUUCCCUGGAGAUGUGAAUGCAAGUUUUAUUCUUUAAUUGCUAAAACAAUCAGGUCCUGUACAAGACAGAUAUAGCAAGAACUUGAAAGAACUUAAAGCAAGAAUACAUAAAAGGAAAAUCUGAACACAUUGGGUUAACAGGAAUUUUAAUGUCUACCCUUGCCUGGCAAAUCCCAUGGACGGAGGAGGCUGGUGGGCCGCAGUCCAUGGGGUCUCUAGGAGUUGGACACGACUGAGCGACUUCACUUUCACUUUUCACUUUCAUGCACUGGAGAAGGAAAUGGCAACCCACUCCAGUGUUCUUGCCUGGAGAAUCCCAGGGAUGGGGGAGCCUGGUGGGCUGCCGUCUCUGGGGUCGCACAGAGUUGGACAUGACUGAAGCGACUUAGCAGCAGCAGCAGCAAGCAGAGUUUGAGAGCCAGCAGAAAAUAGAAACUAAAUGAGAAAGAAAUUAGUGUUUUUGAAACCAUUAUUCCUGUUAACCAGGAUCUUGAACCAAAUGAAGCACUUUAAGCAUCAGAGAAUAUUUUGUUACAUUUAUCCCCCUACUGUCUGAAAUUUAGUUUGGUUUCAAAUCAGUUAACUGCUAUUUAAAAAUUAUUUUCUCUGGGAAUGAUGCAUGUCAUGUAACUAAUGUAUCUUCCAUAUUGCUUUGGCUGCCAGGGGACUCAGGAACUCGAAUUACUAUAUAGGUCUUGCAUAUCUAUGUCAUAAUAUUCCCUCUGGUUUUGAUUUUUCCCCCGAUCCUGGUUUUUAUCUACUUAGAUUUUUGUUUUAUUGCAUGUAUUUCUUAUAAGCCCUCUCAAAUCUUUUGUUAGAUGGAUUUGUAGAUCAAAACAACUUGGAUCUGUGGUUCAGUUUAAGAAGAAAUGAACAUUUCAGUUUGGUUUUAAAGUUCAGCAAAUUAGUGUGAUUAGCUCUGAUUUGAGGUUUACAGUUCUAUUACGUUAAAGUCCCUGGUAUUUAAUACAUCAAAGAGCUUGAGAGCUUGACUUAACCUCCUGCGUGUUAACACUACACAGUGCAUUGCGUGUCUGUUUCCAAUGAUUCUGGGGUACGACGCUCUUCAAGGUUCUGUCCUGGAUUCUUGCUCACCCCUUAGGCAUGGUGGAAUGGAUGUGUGAGCAUUGACUUUCAAACACAGAUGCCACGAAGAGUUUAGAAAGGAAAGUGAUCUCCCUGACUCCAGCCUUUCCCUGCAUUUUCUCGUUCAAAGAGAUGAAGGCCCAAGUCUUCAGGGUACGAGAGCCCACACAUCCUUCCUGGCCACGUGUUCCCCUUCACAUGACAGCCAGGUGACGUGGAGAGAUUCUUGCAUCCUGCACCCAUGCAUCAGGACCCUUCCCACCAGGAAAUGGAGAAGUUCUGGCACAAGAGGCAGCAGUCAUUCCGAGGAAGAAGAGAGAUCAGAAACAUUGCUUAGGCCCGGAUCCCAAAGUUUUGACUCUCCACGGUGGCCCUGGUGGAUCCUCCAAGAGUCCUCUGGGUUCCAUCAAAGACCAUUUAGCUUAUACUGAUGUCUAGACAGAUAUCAGUUUGUAGUGGUGGAACCAGGCUCCCUGGGUUCUGGGUGCUGCUAAGACAUUCACUCUUAGUUUGAGCUUGACAAACUCAUUACCAGGUCUGUGUCCCUACUUCCUCCCAGGCCAGUGGAAGGGGAGGAAAUUGAGAGAAGGGAACCAAUAUGCGUUAGAUCUCUACUAUCUUCCAAAGACCACAUUUGCCAUUACCCAGAAUCAUCAUUUCUUAGCCACAUGACUUUGACUAAUGACUUCCUCUCAACCCGUUUCUUCGUCUGAGAGUGGAAAUUAUAUAUAUAUAUAUAUACAUUUAUACAUAUAUAUGUAUAUAUAUAUAUACACACACACAUGUGUGCUGAGCUGCUUCAGUUGUGUCCAACUCUUGUGACCCCAUGGACUGCAGCCUGCCAUGCUCCUCUGUCCAUGGGAUUCUCCAGGCAGGAAUACUGGAGUGGGUUGCUUCUCUAUCCAGUGAUACGGAGAUGAUGAAGCUAAAGUUUCAGAGCUCUCCUUUUGCACAUGGGUCCUCUGACCAGAAAGGAGCUCUGGACGCAUAUUUGCAUGUCUUAUUAAAAUUAGAAGAGUAAGGUAUCUUUGGCAUUACUGGCUAAGGACGGCUGUCUCCUCCCACUUGCUUCCUCACUCUGCCAUGCUCAUUUUGGAGAUCAGGCUAAGUUAAGCACGACGUGGGUUACAUUUGCCUUGAGUUUAGUGGAACACACAUGUGUAUGGCCAUCUCAGCGUAUGAAUGGGCUCUAAAUACGUGUCUGCCUCCCUUUGAAUACUCCUGUCUCUCAUGGCUAGGAAUAUCGGCAUGAAGACGCACAGCCAGAGUGCAUCUUCCCAAAUGUGAAAGUUUCCCAGAGUGCUUUGCAUGGUGACUUAGUAAAGAAUCCGCCUACAAUGCAGAAGACCCAUGUUCGAACCAUGGGUCAGGAAGAUCCCCUGGAGCAGGGAAUGGCUACCCACUCCAGUAUUCUCACCUGGAGAAUCCCAUGGAUGGCGGAGCCUGGUGGGCUACAGUCUAUGGGGUUGCAAAGAGUCGGGCAUGACUGAGUGACAAACACUUUAGAGUGCUCUGCACCAGAAGCAAGUGGGUAGCAGAAGAAAAGCAAAGUUUGAAAUAUAUGGCGACAAGAGCUAGUCUGCAGAAAAUACAUCCAAUCAUCAGCCAUGUAAAACUAAACAGGAGAUUUGGUUUUCAUACAUAUCUAAUUAAAAUAGAAAUUCUUCUUAGAAACGUGCUCAGUAAUGUGGCAUAUUGAUUAUAAACUCACUAUUCUUUUUUCUUCUUUUGGUGGGAACUGUGUAAAAUAUCAUUUAUUAAAUUUGUAGAGUACAAACCUCUAGCAGCACUACAAACAGCUAAUAUGAUCUUACCUGAAUUGACUUGUUUUUACAUUUCAGUUCUCAGUAAAAAAACACAUUUUGCCUACCAUGCUAGAGGGAAGACUGGGUUAUCUUUCUGUUCUCUCCGUAGGAAAUAAUGUUAUAUCCUCGUCACAAAAGUGAAGUGACAGUGUUAACUACUCAGUCAUGUCCAACAUUUUGCAACCCCUUGGAUUGUAGCCUGCCAGGCUCCUCUGUCCAUGGAAUUUUCCAGGAAAGAAUACUGGAAUAGGUUGCCUUUCCCUUCUUCAGGGGAUCUUCCUGACCCAGGGAUUCAUCCCGGAUCUCCUGCAUUGUAGGCAGAGCCAACCGUCUGAGCCACCAGGGAAGCCCAGCAUCCUUGUCAUAUAUAAUCAAAUGUGCAGCCAAAACUGUAGGGAUAAAUGUAUUAUAGAGAAGUAAUACAUAGUUAAUUAAAAAUACUAGGUAAAAUUCUGAACUUUUGUGAUUUUUGUGUUAUCUGUCAGCUUUUAAAAAAUGUGUGUUAUUGCUUUCCUUCCACUAAAUAAAUGCUCACUUUUAUGCCUCACUUUUAUUGGUAAUUUUGUAAGCUUCAGGUCCCUCUAAAUCUGCAUCUUCUCAGAAAAUCUGUAUAGUUAUACAUUCUUUCCAAGCAGAUAGCAGAUGUUCACGUGAGAUUUGUAUAAACGGCUCUCCUGACCAAGAUUUGGGCUGCAUAUAGAUAGUAGUUAUUACUAUGAUUGUUAUCACGAGAGAUGCUGCAGAUAAGUUUAUUUUUGAUAGAAGCCUG